AGCUGGCGGUGAGCGAGCUGGAGUCUGUGAAGGAGAAUAACUGCGCAUCGAACUGCCACCUCGAGGGAGACACUGGCAAAAAGGCUGGGGAAGAGCCCCUUGCUGGAGGAGACAAGCAGGAUCCCAACCUCAACAAUCCGGCAGACGAGGACCAUGCGUAUGCUUUGCGGAUGCUGCCCAAGACAGGUUGUGUGAUCCAGCCUGUGCCAAAACCAGCAGAAAAGACUGCUAUCGCGCCGUGUAUUAUGUCAACGCCAAUCCUCAGCACAGGGCCAGAGGAUCUGGAGCCACCAUUGAAAAGGAGGUGUCUCCGAAUUCGAAAUCAGAAUAAGUAAAGGAACGCUCGCCAACAGGGUACCUUGCAUGGAGAAAGGGAGCAGAGCAAACCACAUCGCUCCAUCGAACGACACCAGCUGGUCCGCUCACCACCCCUCUGGCUAAAAGUCAAGCAAAUAAAGCAGCUUCCCGUCACGAAGUCCCUCUGAGGAAGCCUCAGUCCCACGGGUGCCUUUGACCCAGAAGACAGCACAUCAUGGACCCACACAGUGUGCUCAGCAUUCCCGCGACCGCCCCUCUUCUCCUCCAAGGAACGCUUUCUCCUCUUGGUUUCUUGCUGUGGGGAUUUUUCACCCUGGUUUCAAAAACCACAUGGACCAACGUAGGUACUUUUUCCCUCCCUGACUUCAAAGUUCAGAUAUUUGAGACUGGACAGUGAUAUGGAUAUUUUUUUUCCUUUUUUUUUUUUUUUUUCUUUCGUAAAAACUGCUGUGGUUUUGCUGCUACACUAAGAAACGUGAUUUGCAUUGUAUGGUUUUGGACCUAUUCAAGUUUUGAUGGGGGAAAGGGGUAAUACUGGAGUAGCAACGCUUCAGAGUCAUCUCUGUCCUACCCACGAUGCACUUUUAAAUGAAGAGGUAGAAUAUUUUAUUGGCUAAUAUACUUUCCUUGUUAUUUUUACAAAGGCCACCUUUAUCCUUUCUAAUGCCAUAUUUUCAGUGUUACACUUUUAUGGCUUUUAAUUUUUGAUUUGACAGAUGUAAGAAGCAGCAUGAAUAGUUUAUACUGUGGUUUUUCAGAGACUGAAUGCCAAGAGAACUCAGUAAAUGUUUAUUCUUCUCAGCUUUCUCUUUAAAUUCCCCUAAAUAGCGCCCCAUUUGGGAACAGAGCAAGAGUGUUGAACUAAAGACCAAAAUUCCCUCAAGGUGUAAAAUAAUCUGAGGGGAAUAUUUGCUGGGCGUCACGAAAGACUCGGAUGAAAUUUCAACCCUGAUGGUUUUCAGUGAUCCAGGAAGGCAGUGAGACAAUCUCUCCAUAUGCAUAGCCCUUUCAUGAUAAUUAGAAUGGUAUGGACAAACCAAUGAAAACAAGGGUAAAGUGAGAAAGAUCCCUCAUGAUUCUGUUUCACUGUUUGCUUUCUCCUGUCAUGGUUAAGAGAAAUGUGCAAUUCGAUCCUCAAUCAGUGGGUAGAGGAUAACAGGGUAGAAUUUACUUGUGUGCACUUGUACAGUCGUAGCCAAGAGUCCAAAAGUACACUAGAGCAUGUUAUACUGGCACUGAAUUGGUAAGAGAGUCGUGGAGUAUCCCAUUCUGACAAAUACAAAAAAACAAAAAAAC